GGUCGAUUAGAUCAGUUGGUUAGAUCGUUGUGCUAAUAACACAAAGGCCAUGAGUUCAAGCCUCAUAUUGACCA
rnacentral:tRNA from 1 species